AAAGAGUAACGGAGGCGCGCGAUGGUAGGCUCAGUCCGGUCGGAAAUCGGACGUUGAGUGCAAUGGCAUAAGCCUGCCUGACUGCGAGAUUGACAAAUCAAGCAGAGACGAAAGUCGGUCAUAGUGAUCCGGUGGUCCCGCGUGGAAGGGCCAUCGCUCAACGGAUAAAAGGUACUCUGGGGAUAACAGGCUGAUGACGCCCAAGAGUCCAUAUCGACGGCGUUGUUUGGCACCUCGAUGUCGGCUCAUCGCAUCCUGGGGCUGGAGAAGGUCCCAAGGGUAUGGCUGUUCGCCAUUUAAAGCGGUACGUGAGCUGGGUUUAGAACGUCGUGAGACAGUUCGGUCCCUAUCUACCGUGGGAGUAGGAGUUUUGAGAGGAUCUGCCCUUAGUACGAGAGGACCGGGGUGGACAUUCCUCUGGUGGACCUGUUGUUGCGCCAGCAGCAUUGCAGGGUAGCUAUGAAUGGAAAGGAUAACCGCUGAAAGCAUCUAAGCGGGAAACCAACCUCAAUACUAGAACUCCCUUGAGAGUCGUCCAAGACCAGGACGUUGAUAGGCUGGGUGUGGAAGUGCGGCGACGCAUGAAGCUUACCAGUACUAAUAACUCGAUUGGCUUGAUUCUCUCUAAUCAU
rnacentral:rRNA from 1 species